GGAAGCGCCGUUGCGGGCGCCAUGGCCGCCGGGGGUCUGAGCCGCUCCGAGCGCAAAGCGGCCGAGCGCGUCCGGCGGCUGCGGGAGGAGCAGCAGCGCGAGCGGCUGCGCCAGGUGUCGCGCAUCCUGCGCAAGGCGGCGGCCGAGCGCAGCGCCGAGGAGGGCCGGCUGCUGGCCGAGAGCGAGGACCUGGUCACCGAGCUGCAGGGCCGCAGCCGGCGGCGCGAAGGCCUCAAGCGGCGGCAGGAGGAGGUGUGCGAUGCCCCGGACGAGCUGCGGAGGAAGGUGCGCGAGCUGGCCGCCGCCGUGCGCAGCGCCAAGCACUUGGUGGUCUACACCGGCGCGGGCAUCAGCACGGCAGCCUCGAUCCCUGAUUAUCGAGGACCCAACGGAGUGUGGACGCUGCUUCAGAAAGGCAGACCCGUGAGUGCUGCUGACCUGAGCGAGGCCGAGCCCACCCUGACACACAUGAGCAUCUACCGCCUGCACGAGCGGAAGCUGGUCCAGCAUGUGGUGUCUCAGAACUGUGACGGGCUCCACCUUCGAAGUGGGCUGCCCCGCUCGGCCAUCUCGGAGCUGCACGGGAACAUGUACAUUGAGGUCUGCACCACCUGCACCCCCAACCGGGAGUAUGUGCGGGUGUUCGAUGUCACGGAGCGCACUGCCCUCCACCGGCACCAGACCGGCCGGGCCUGCCACAGGUGUGGGGCCCAGCUCCGGGACACGAUCGUGCACUUCGGGGAGCGGGGAACCCUGGGGCAGCCCCUGAAUUGGGAGGCAGCCACCCAAGCGGCCAGCAAGGCAGACACCAUCCUGUGCCUGGGCUCUAGCCUCAAGGUGCUAAAGAAGUACCCACGCCUCUGGUGCAUGGCCAAGCCCCCAAGCCGGAGGCCGAAGCUCUACAUCGUCAACCUGCAGUGGACCCCGAAGGAUGAUUGGGCGGCUCUGAAGCUGCAUGGGAAGUGUGAUGAGGUCAUGCAGCUCCUCAUGGACGAGCUGGGCCUGGAGAUCCCCCGCUAUAGCAGGUGGGGCAGCUCUGGGCGUCCGGUGCCUGUGCCACCCAGUGGCUCCAUGCGGGCAUCCUGCUGGGGAGCAGUCCCCCCUUCAGGCAGCCCAACCCCACCCCCACCCCACCCCACCCCACCCCUGGGAAGGUGUUCUGUGCGUGGAGCACUCGGUUUGGGAGCUGGCGGCUUUGGGGGAAGCGUGAAUGGCUAAUACGGGAUGUGGUGAUGUAGACUUGGUGUCUGUAUGGAGUAAAAAGUUGACACUUUCUUUCUCUGUGAAUUUUCAGGGUCUUAUAGGGGAAAUCAAUAACUUCUUUUAAUCAAAGGGUUCAAGAAUUAAGGAUCCCUUCGCCUCCGGGCCUGGCAAUUCUUGUGCCAGGACCCCAUCUUCUCCCUGGCCACACCUCUGCGCGCCGGCGAAGAGGGCAGCCACAGCCGCAAGUCUCUGCGCAGAAGUCCAGAGGAGGCACCAGGAGACCAGACUGCCCAGCCCAG